rnacentral:rRNA from 1 species
GAUGAACGCUGGCGGCGUGCCUAAUACAUGCAAGUCGAGCGAACGGACGAGAAGCUUGCUUCUCUGAUGUUAGCGGCGGACGGGUGAGUAACACGUGGAUAACCUACCUAUAAGACUGGGAUAACUUCGGGAAACCGGAGCUAAUACCGGAUAAUAUUUUGAACCGCAUGGUUCAAAAGUGAAAGACGGUCUUGCUGUCACUUAUAGAUGGAUCCGCGCUGCAUUAGCUAGUUGGUAAGGUAACGGCUUACCAAGGCAACGAGGCAUAGCCGAACUGAGAGAGUGAUGACCCACACUGGAACUAAGACACCGUCCAAACCACUACGGGAGGCAGCAGUAGGGAAUCUUACGCAAUGGGCGAAAGCCUGACGGAGCAACGCCGCGUGAGUGAUGAAGGUCUUCGUAUCGUAAAACUCUGUUAUUAGGGAAGAACAUAUGUGUAAGUAACUGUGCACAUCUUGACGGUACCUAAUCAGAAAGCCACGGCUAACUACGUG